rnacentral:lncRNA from 1 species
UUUUUCUUUGACAGCCCAGACCUGAGUCCAGCCCUUUUUACAAAUUACAAUACAAUGGGAAGAGAAGGUGGGAUUAAAACGUGAGUCACUUUCCCCUUCCCACUGUAUUUGCGUGCGUCCGUGUGCUCCAAGAUAAAUCAAAACUGCAUUUUAUAUAUUAUUUUGUUAAAAAAGAAAGAAACUAAAAUAAAAGGCAUACUUUCUGGUUGAACAAGUUGGAUUUUGAAAAGGCUCGUCAAUUUUAAGCUAUAACUUUUUCCUUUUUCUUUUAAAGAAAAGAAGAAGAAGAAGAAGAAUUGAAGGCAAUUGCCA